UGGUAGUGUUAACUGUUUAGAAUAUAAUGAUGCUUAAAACCCAAAAGGUUGCAAGAUAGUGACUAAUCCCAACUGAGUUGUGAUACCUCUAAAAACAUAAAAUACGAGUUGGUCAUAGAUGGAUGCUUUGGAUCGUUAGAUCCGGAUCCAAUACCUUCUUGUUAAAAUUGUUUAGAGGCGAAAUGUUCAAAUCUUUAUUCUUUUGGAAAGAAGAAAGAAUCACAAAGUUGUUGAGGUUAAUUCACUUAGAUGUUAGUGGCACUUGUCCACAACAUAAUACUACUCAUGUUAUAUGACAUUCACCGAAGAUCACUCUCGGUUGGACUAUAGUUUAUUUUGAAUAAACACAAGUCCGAAUACUUUGCAAAAGGUUUCAAAGAAUUCAAGAAAUGUAAGUUGAUGAGUAAGAAGUCUAAAGUAUUUACUUCCUUAGAUUUGAUCCAAGGAAAGAUAACACUUUAAAACAGUUUCCUUGAUAAUUAUCAAGGAAAGAAGCAUCAGAAGAUAAUGUCUUCUCCAUUAGGAGAAGAACGAACUCGAAUAAGAUUUAGUUCGUUAGAUGUUAUCAAUUACCCAUAUAUAGGAUAUAUACUUCUAAAAACAAUAUGAUUGUCAAUUAGAAGAUCUUCCAAGAUUUUCAUGACUCCAUAAGAUGUAGUUGGAAAGAAAGACAAAUCUCAAGCACGUUAAGAUUUGGGGUUGUGUGCUAAUAAGCAAUAUUUGUUUGACAACAAUCUUGUAGGAUAUCCUUAAAUUAACUUUUGGAUAUCACUUCUAUAAACCAACUAACAAAUGUUGUUUUGUUGGGUAGUUCAUUGUAAUCUUACAAUAUGAUUUGCCUAAGUGCAAAUGAAUGAGAGAUAGAACUCAAAGGAUGGGUUCUUUGAGAGACAAGAUAAUAAUCAACAAAUAUAACAACCUAGUUCCUAUACCAAAAGCUCCAAGGUAGUCGAGAAGGAUUUAUAAACCAUCUCAGUUGAAUGGUUUGAACUUUAUGACUAUGUCAUAGGGUUGCACCUCUUAAUUCAAAAGAAAUAAGAAUGAAAAUCCUUAUGACUACAUUGAGUGUAUAUAUGAUAUAUACUCAAGGAAAUGGUAAAGUACCAUUUGACCCGAAAUAAUGAAACCUUCAUAAGCUAAUUGGUAGCUUAAGGUGACUACAAUCAAAGAGAAUGGUUGACUUUGAAGAAACCAUCUUUGAGAUAGUCUUGGUUUCAAUUAAUUCGAAGAUUGCUAGCUAGAACUAAAUGGUGAUUCAAUGUUUGGACAUAAUAUGGGUUUCCGAAACCAUUAUUAAGAUAGUCUUGAUAAUAUAUGUCUAAAACUAUAAAUCACAAUACAUGUAAGUUGUAGAGAUCCAUCCAUCACGAAUCUUAGCAAGCUAGUGGGAGCUAUAAGCAUCUUAUGAGAAAAGGAUCAAAUCGUUUGAUUUCUCAUAAAGAUGUAAAUGAAUCUUUUGUUUACUAGGUUUACAAAAGAUUAGUGGGAGUUAAUCAUAUUCCUAAAUUUGAAUAUAUAUGAUAUAUUAAUUUUGGAAAUGAAAAAGGAUACUUCUUCGUUAAAGUUAUGACUUUAAAACAUUAUAUGAAGAUAGAAUGUAUAUGGGAGACAUAGUCUAUAUACAUGGGAUGGAAAUCUAUAUUGAUAGAUUUUAGGAUAUAAUUGGAUUAUAUCAAGCCCUAAAUAUAGACAAAAUUUGAUAGGAAGUUUCUCAUAUGAUGAUGAACUUCAAUCAAAAGGACAACUCUAGUGAGACUAAGAAGUUGCUCUUCUCAAAGAGAACGUACUCUUUGACACCCAAAGAAAUAAUGCGUAAAGAGAAUCCUUUAUGCAUACGCAGAAAGGUGAUUUAUGUAUUUCAUAUUGUAUGAAAAACAUUGAUAUGAGUUGUACCUAGAACGGUACAAGACGAUAUCAGUGCAAGCCCAGGAUCAGAACCAUGGCAACUGUCAAGUGAGUCCUUAAGUGUUUAAUAAAUACUAAAGGAUAAAUUCCUCAAAGAUCGAGGAAGAAUUAGAGUAACGUAAUGGAAGCGUAAAUGUAUUAGAUUAUGAAUCUAAUCCAUCAUUGGAUGUUUCUUCAUUAAGAAUGAAGAGAUAAACAGAUAUCUCUUUAUUAUGACUAAAGAGAUAUUUGGAUGGAAACAUUAAAGUAGUGACUUUAGUGUGUUCCAUUAUGAAUGAAAAAUAUAUUGCCAUAUAGAAGUUUACAACAAUGUUGUUUGGAUGGGAAAGUUCAUUUAUGAACUCUCUAUUCGAUUCCAACCAGAAAGUGUCUGACACUAAUGGGGCGAUAGCUCAAGCCAGGGAAUCCAGGUCUCAUCAAGAUCCGAACUCAUAUGAGAGACUGAACCACAUGAUUGAGAAUCAUGUAUAAUGGUGACGUCGUUAUUCUCAAGGUUGCUUCUAUGGAUAACAUAUAGACAUCCAUUGUCUAGGCCUACUACUCAGCCAUUUUUGAAAUGACUACAGAACAGGUAUCAUCACUGAUGACCAAGUUGAUUAGCUCUAGUGCAAGUGGGAGAUUGUUGGAAAUGUGCCCUAAAACCAAUCAUAUGAUGAUACUUUACGGACAUUUCACAUGUUAAACUAAUCUAGUUUAAUAUCAAGGGCAAAGAUUAUUGUUUUAAGCCGUCUCAUAUAAAUGUUAUAUGCUUAAACGAUAUGUCCAAGGAAUAUGUAAUUGGGAGAAUGUAAUUUAAACAAGUUAAAUUAAUGAGACCAUUCUCUUUUGUAUACAUAUCCUAAACGUUCUUGAUCAUAGGAUUGCCAAUUGGGCAUUGACAGUCCGUUAAGAUCAGUACAUGCCAUGUCUUCUCUUAGGGAGAGUAACUAGUCUUGAGUCAUUGGUGUGAUUGACACCAAGACAAACAUGUAGGUGCUCAAUAGAGAAUGAGUUAACUGAACACGAUCAACGAAGAGUUCUCAUAUUCAUGUCACAUGAGAACUCAUGGUUGGGAUAAUGCAAAGUA
rnacentral:lncRNA from 1 species